UUCCGGAGUGAGUUUGGACGCCAUGUUUCAUGUUGCCCAACAGAGAAUUAACCAUAGGAAACAGGGAAGAGGACUCAACCUGGGCGCCAACGUGUCUCCGCCACUUCCUCCUGCAGGCAGCAAUACGAAGUUGCAGUAAGAUUUUUCAUAGGAAGAGCGCGCUUAUUUGCACCUCAAGUUUAAGUGCGUGUUGCUCUAUUCAAAGGAGGAAGCUUCGUCUUCAGGCAUGCGGAUCAUGAUUCUCAAACUCUAUAGUAACACUACAAUCAAGGGGGUCAUACAGAUUUCAGAUUCGGUUCAACCCCGGGAAUAUCCAAGAUGUGGGAUGAUGCUGAUUGCUGGGCUUGGAAAUAUUCUCAGAGUCACCUCCGUCUGAUUGCUUUCUUAAGUUAUUCCUAACCAGAAGUUAUUCUAACGCACGUGUUCAUCUCAAAACCAGCUGUUUUUCCUGAUUCUUGUUUUCCACAAAGCUACUAAAAAUAAAAAAAUCUGUUAAUGGGAUAAAAAUUAGUUCAAAAUUCCCCCAGGUGGCAUUGCCACUUGCAUUUGCUCCGUUUUAUAUAAAAUUCUGUCAUAUUCAGACAGUUAUUUAGCAAACGGCAUUAUUACCUCAUGCCUCUUAAGCUUGCAAAAGAUUGAGCCAUCUAGAAUAUCAAAAACAAUAUAUUCUCUUGAUAAAGUGGAUAAAGGAGGAGUACUCAUGACCAUAAGCAAGCUGGAUUAUUGAAACAGUGCUUCAAUACCUCAUUUUAGAGGUAUUGAGGUACAGAUGGUGGUACAGAUAGUGAAGAAUACCAAAAGGAAUUAUAAGACUUUCUGAAGAAUUUUCUCCCAAAUGCACAAAAUGUACCUUGAGAAAGUUAUUCUGGCAUCUCACUUGGGAAGGUGGGCUGCAAUACAGUAAACAUGGAUGAAGACUAGAAGACUUCCAAGGUCCCUUCCAACUCUUGUUCUAUAUUCUAUAUGUCUUCUUUUGAUGAUGUCUAAUAAACUAACAAAUCCCAGAAUUCAUGAGAUACUUUAGUCAGAUUUUGCAAGAUUUAUUCUUGUGUGAAAUCUCUCAAGAUCUUGUCAAUCGAUUGAUUGUGAAUAUUUGCUUGCUUUAAACUUUAGAAUAUAGCAGACAAUACCAAUAUACAAUCAUUUCUGCUCAGAGUCAUCAAACAAACUCUCAUGCAUAUCCGGUUAUAGUUCAGUAUUCACUUUAUAUAUUUUUCCACAGUGAGCUGAAAAUAACAGAAUGAAACCCCACAGAAUGAAAUGCAAAAUCUUUCACUUAGAAAACAGAAAUCAAAUGCAUAGGUGAAAGAUGGAGGAUAAUUCUCCACAAAUUAGUACUGGUGAGAAAAAUCUUGGAAUAGUAGUUGAUUAUCGAUUUAAUGUAAUCAGAAGGGUGAUGUGACUACGAAAAGGCAAAUGAAAUUUUUGGCUGCCUGAAGAGAAGCUUUUAAGUAGUUUUUAAUAAUGAAAAGUAAUAGUGUUGCAUUAUUCUAUAUUGAGCAGGUCCCUUGAGUCCGGUUCAGAGCACCACACUUUAAGGAGAGUUCAAACAAAUUUGAACUAAUAGAGCAGUGUUGGCAAACCUAUGGCACGAGUGCCAGAGAUGGCACUCGGAGCCCUCUCUGUGGGCACACGUGCCGUUGCCCCAGCCUUGCCUCCCCCGUGGCCCCCUCCACACCAGCAGCCCCCCUGGAGGAGAGUCGCCCCCAGGCACAGCUCGCUUCGAACAGCGCAGCCAAGGACAUGGCAGCUGGGCAGUGGGGACAAGACUCUGCCUUUGUGCACUGUCGCAAAAAGUUGAUGGGAGGCAUGGGUGGAGGGCGUGGCCACCAUGGUGUUGCUGGGCUGCCUGGGCAAUCUACAGUGGGCCGUGGCGAUGGGUGGCCUUGCGGGUGGGGGGGGCGGGGCAGGGGUGAGGCAGUGCAGGGGUGAGGUAGUUUUUGGGCACUUGGUCUCUAAAAGGUUCGCCAUCACUGUAAUAGAGCAAAAAGCAACAAGAAUGACUAGAAUGCCAGAAACUAAAUCCUGUGAAAAGACAUUGAAUGAUUGGCAAUGUUUAGCCUUAAGAAGAGAAGAAUGGUGUAGGAGGGAGAUGUAUGUGAAAUAACAUUACAGAAGAAUGUGGGAUCUCUUGUUCCAAAAUGUAGGGGAGGAAAAAUGGAUUUAACUGUCAGAAAGAAAGAUUUUGGUUGAAUAUUAAGGAAAAUCUUCUAAAACAACUUAUUAAGAAUAUAUUCAUCAUGAUCAACCACUGAUUUAUUAAUGACUGUCUAUUUUCAUUGCCUGCAGUUCCUAUACUGCAUUACAUUAUGAGCUAAUAUUUCCCUUGUUCAUCCUAAAUUAAUGAAUAUGUAAUACUUCCUUCUGAAAUAUUGUGUACUGCAUGCAUCUGGUGAAAGGGAUUAGCAUCUUGAAAACUUUAAGCAAUAAAAAAAUUUCCUUAAAUUGC